CCUGUGAGUCAUUUGUCGGUGGAAUCCUUUAAUCUGCUAACUAUCUGUUUGUCGCUCCGUCUAUUUCGGCCGAGUCUUAACGACCGCGGUGUCCGCGGUGAGACCUCAGCCCGACGAGUGUUGAUGAGAAGAGGGACGGAGCGUUGGGUCCGAUUGGACGCCGAGGAGCCAGUAAUCAUCUCGGUUUACCAGCGGUCCAAGGCGGCUUUGAUACCUGCCGGCCCGCCCCCCUCGGAGACGGUGCUCAGGAGAUGAAGAGCGUAUUCAGAACGAGUGUCUCAAUGAACACAACGCCUUCACAUCUCUCUGUUUGUUCCUCGAUACAUCACGGAGAGAGAUCUGGGAGACUGAGGAUGGAGUUAUCUGCUGUGAGCCAUGGAAGCUGUUCUUCUGGGGGGAGGAAGCAAGGUUCCCAUGAUGAGAACAACAAGCAGGAGAAGCUGAUUUAUCAUCGUAUUAUAAUUCAGAGAAGACAGAGAUCUUUUAUAUCUAGCAAUUAUUUAACCGCCGCUUAAAUAAAAACCUAGGACACUUUCAAGAACAAAUAAC
ensembl:lncRNA